UCUUCAUUCCUCGUGCUCUCUCAUCGAUCAGAGUGAUGAGAGAGUACGUAGAAUGAAGAGA
rnacentral:pre_miRNA from 1 species